rnacentral:rRNA from 1 species
GACGAACGCUGGCGGCGUGCUUAACACAUGCAAGUCGAACGAUGAAGCCGGAGCUUGCUCUGGUGAAUUAGUGGCGAACGGGUGAGUAACACGUGAGUAACCUUCCCUUGACUCUGGGAUAACUGCGGGAAACUGUAGCUAAUACCGGAUACGACCCUCGGAGGCAUCUCCUGGGGGUGGAAAGAAUUUCGGUCAAGGAUGGACUCGCGGCCUAUCAGCUAGUUGGUGAGGUAAAGGCUCACCAAGGCGACGACGGGUAGCCGGCCUGGGAGGGUGACCGGCCACACUGGGACUGAGACACGGCCCAGACUCCUACGGGAGGCAGCAGUGGGGAAUAUUGCACAAUGGGCGCAAGCCUGAUGCAGCAACGCCGCGUGAGGGAUGACGGCCUUCGGGUUGUAAACCUCUUUUAGCAGGGAAGAAGCGAAAGUGACGGUACCUGCAGAAAAAGCACCGGCUAACUACGUGCCAGCAGCCGCUGUAA